rnacentral:lncRNA from 13 species
AUGAGGAGCCCUCCUUAUUCUGAGGGAAAAGCAGCAAACCACAGGCAAGGGCAGGUGAAUGUUGCCUGCAGGACACGUGGAGAGGUGAUUUACAUCCGUGUGGCUCCAUGGAUCCUCACCUGGAGCGUGUUGUCUGCAUGGAUAUGGGGAUCUGGGGAUCUGGGAAGGUUGCGUGCACACACUUUGUCACUAAACUCUAAGUGUAGGAAAGGGGUAAGAGGAGAGUUUUGGGUACUGCUAGAAAAGUGGAAAAACUCCACGGCCAAUUCAGUUUCAGGAACGUGCUGUGGGUGGACAGAAAUGGAGGAAUCAUCACCAUCUCCCUUUGAACUUGCUUUCCAUGUUUCACAAGUGUACCAAAAAAUCAUCUAACUUGGGAGAGCUUAAUUCAAUCAAAGAGAGAACGAAUUGAUGCCUAAGCAAGAAAUUACCACUUUUAAAUUUCAAAGCUACUGGAUCCUGAUGAGAUUAAGAAAAAUAAUUUCCAACAUUUGAAAAUGAGAAAACAAAAGCAUCUCCAGAUAUUACAGAAAAUCAGUAAUGGAAACUGUUAUGGUACAACAGUGCUCGUUAGCUCUAAUCAAACCUCAUUUGUUUUGUCUCUACAGACCCCAAGUUUCAGGUUAUAUUAUGCCAUUAAAAAUUCUGGUCCUCAGUACCCAACUUUCUAAACCCCCCCAAAAAAACUUUACAAAUUAUUUUAAAUCAACUCAAUCAGAAUAUCGCAAGAAUUACUCAAUGGUCUUCAGCUUGAAUCUAUUUAUUUUUUUGCAAACCAUUUACCUGUAACAUAAGAGUCGUUUUUGGUAUUAAACUUUACUUGGAAAGUAUUGUCCAUGCUUUUCAGGAGGCAUCCCAGUAUUUCUGCAGUCCUACUUUAACAAGACAUAGUUCAGUAUCUGCAGUAUCAGUAUCUGGUAUUCCCUAUGGUGAGUGGGGUACAGCUACAGACGUUUUAUAAAGGAACCUUUCUGGCUGGUUUUCUCAAAAACUUACCAUCAUGUCAGCUUUUAAAGAGUGCUUUGGAUAAACUCAUAACACACGCAUGGUUUACAACGUUCCAAAUGUGCUGGAGGAUGCCAAGCACUGAAAUAGGAACUGAAAUCAAAGUCAGGAAGUGUUCAGAAACACUUCUUUAGUCUCUGAAGGACAUUGCUGUUUAUCACAAAAUUCAUCUUCUAAACAUAAAAAGUUUAGACAAGUUGGAUAUUCAGCUCCAAACUCAUUCAUCACACUUUUGCUCACUGCUUGUCAGUUUGACAAUU